GCUGGGGCCAGGGCCGAGCUCCGGGCCUCCGCGGCCAUCGCUGCCUGCGCCGUCCCUUUCCCUCGCCCUCUCCGCGCCCUCCCACGCCGCGUGGAGUUCGGUGGUGUCGGCGGCCUCGCCCUGAGGGGCACCGCGGCUUCGGGAGCUCGGCCUCCAGCGCGGCGCGAUGUCGGACGCCGUGACGGCUCUGUGAGUCCGAGUCCGCGGCCGCGGCGUUGGGCAGCUGCGGGGCCAAGCCGGGUCCGCUCAUGGUGCCGCCACGACGCCAUCGCGGGGCAGGAAGGCCAGGUGCCCUGAGUUUUUCACCUCCUUUUAGACUGAGAUCUGCCAAGUUUUCAGGCAUUGCUCUUGAAGAUCUCAGAAAGGCCCUUAAAACAAGACUGCAAAUGGUGUGUGUAUUUGUCAUGAACCGAAUAAAUUCCCAGAACAGUGGUUUCACUCAGCGCAGGCGAAUGGCUCUUGGGAUUGUUAUUCUUCUACUUGUUGAUGUGAUAUGGGUGGCUUCCUCAGAACUUACUUCGUAUGUUUUUUCUCAGUACAAUAAACCAUUCUUCAGCACCUUUGCAAAAACAUCCAUGUUUGUUCUGUACCUUUUGGGCUUUAUUAUUUGGAAGCCAUGGAGGCAACAGUGUACAAGAGGAUUUCGAGGAAAGCAUGCUGCUUUUUUUGCAGAUGCUGAAGGUUACUUUGCUGCUUGCACAACAGAUACAACUAUGAAUAGUUCUUUGAGUGAACCUCUGUAUGUUCCUGUGAAAUUUCAUGACCUUCCAAGUGAAAAACCUGAGAGCACAAACAUUGAUACUGAAAAAACUCCCAAAAAGUCUCGUGUGAGGUUCAGUAAUAUCAUGGAAAUUCGACAGCUUCCAUCAAGCCAUGCGUUGGAAGCCAAAUUGUCUCGCAUGUCUUAUCCUACUGUGAAGGAACAAGAAUCCAUACUGAAGACAGUGGGGAAACUGACUGCAACUCAAGUAGCAAAAAUUAGCUUUUUUUUUUGCUUUGUGUGGUUUUUGGCAAAUUUCUCAUAUCAAGAAGCACUUUCAGACACACAAGUUGCUAUAGUUAAUAUUUUGUCUUCAACUUCUGGACUUUUUACCUUAAUCCUUGCUGCAGUGUUUCCAAGUAACAGUGGAGAUAGAUUCACCCUUUCUAAACUAUUAGCUGUAAUUUUAAGCAUUGGAGGUGUCGUACUGGUAAAUCUGUCAGGGUCUGAAAAAUCUGUUGGAAGAGAUAAAAUAGGUUCCAUUUGGUCUCUUGUUGGAGCCAUGCUCUAUGCUGUCUAUAUUGUUAUGAUUAAGAGAAAAGUAGACAGAGAAGAUAAGUUGGAUAUUCCAAUGUUCUUUGGUUUUGUAGGUCUGUUUAAUCUGCUGCUCUUAUGGCCAGGUUUCUUUUUACUUCAUUAUACUGGAUUUGAGGACUUUGAAUUUCCCAAUAAAGUAGUAUUAAUGUGCAUUAUCAUUAAUGGCCUUAUUGGAACAGUUCUCUCAGAGUUCCUGUGGUUGUGGGGCUGCUUUCUUACCUCAUCGUUGAUAGGCACACUUGCAUUAAGCCUUACAAUACCUCUGUCCAUAAUAGCUGAUAUGUGUAUGCAAAAGGUGCAGUUUUCUUGGUUAUUUUUUGCAGGCGCUAUCCCUGUAUUUUUUUCAUUUUUUAUUGCAACUCUCCUAUGCCAUUAUAAUAAUUGGGAUCCUGUGAUGGUGGGAAUCAGAAGAAUUUUUGCCUUUAUAUGCAGAAAACAUCGAAUUCAGAGAAUUCCAGAAGACAGUGAACAAUGUGAGAGUCUCAUUCCUAUGCAUGGUGUUUCUCAGGAGGAUGGAGCUAGUUAGCUGUUGCCUGUAGCUCAGAGACUAAAGCUUCAAGUCUUUUCCUGGGAUGGAGAAGGCACCUGAGCAUCUGUGAAAAUUUGAUAAUGGAACAUUAUACAGCGAAGAGACAAUCUCUAGCAAGAUUUUGUAGAAAAAUGAUUCAGUGCCUAGUCUGAAAAAUAACGGUUUCAGUUCUUUGAAACUCUAAAAUAUAUUUUCCUCAUAUCUGUUUUCUUCAUUUUCAUAAUGAAGUACUUUGCUAUGUAGCUGUGUACAUAUCACUACAGUUAUAGGAAGUUCUAGUCCACAGUCCAUCUAAAGGACCAACUUGCCUUACACAUCUCAAGGAAUUCAGCUGAUGAAAUCAUUUGAACUAAUCAAGGAAUAAAAUCCUAAUGUUCUUGAGACUUUAUUUUCACAUAUUUGUUAAAUGCUGGACUAUAUUAUGAAAAUAUCUUCAAGAAAUAAUUUAAGUAUAUAGAUCAGUGUUUCUGACUGGUAAAAUGCUAAAAUAAUCUGCCUGGAAUAGGUACGGAUUGUAUUUUGGGGUUUUGUAGAAUAUUGCAAAAUAACCACACAGAAAAAAAUGUUUAAUUUAUGCAACAAGUAUAUUCAUGCAAAUUUGGUGGGAUUUUAAAAAUAAUAAAUAUUUGAGAAAAGAUCUGGUUCACUUAUACUACAUAUACUGUAUUAUCCUUUUAUAGCAUUAGGUGCCUUCUAUUUUAAAUCUGUGACAAACCAUAACAAAUUUUUAAAGGGGAAGUAUUAUUGUAAAAUGAAGAAUUUAUGUAUUUCU